GCUGAAUGAGCAGCUGAAUGAAGUAAAAAAAAAUUAAAAAUUUAAAAAAAAAUAUUAACUAUUAUAUUAACUAAUAUUAAAUAAAUUUACAAUAAUUUUGAAUUUUUUCAGAGGGAUAAAAUAAUAAAAUUUUGUCAUUUAGAUGUUUCAGAUAUGUCAAUUAUCAAACAGUUUUUUUAAUUCAGAUUCAGAGAUUCAGCUCAU
rnacentral:lncRNA from 1 species